UACGGAGGGCGCAAGCGUUAUCCGGAAUCAUUGGGCGUAAAGCGCGUGUAGGUGGUUUGGCCAGUCGGAUGUCAAAGGCUGGAGCUCAACUUCAGAACUGCAGUCGAUACUGGCCGGCUAGAGUCCCGGAGAGGGUGGUGGAAUUCCCGGUGUAGAGGUGAAAUUCGUAGAGAUCGGGAGGAACAUCAGCGGCGAAGGCGGCCACCUGGGCGGUGACUGACGCUGAGGCGCGAAAGCGUGGGGAGCAAAAAGG
rnacentral:rRNA from 1 species